rnacentral:lncRNA from 1 species
AACAAUCAGAAGAUAAACUAUUCCCUUCAACACAAAAACGCACAACUCUUUAUUUUUUUUUUUGAGAUAUAGGUAGCACGCUACCCGCUUCGUUUUUUUAUUUAUCUUUUAGAAAUAAACUUAGCUGAAAAUGUGAAUCAAUUAGGAUUCGAACUUGGACUUCAGCAGUAGAUUCGGCAGAUUGUAUGUCGUGCUAACUGCUAACUAACAUU